GGCAGCAGUAGGGAAUUUUCGGCAAUGGGGGAAACCCUGACCGAGCAACGCCGCGUGAGCGAAGAAGGCGUUCGGGUCGUAAAGCUCUGUGUAAAGGAAGAACGGCGCAUACAGG
rnacentral:rRNA from 1 species